UGCACUCGACGGGAAUCGAACACAUGACCAGCCGCAUAACAAGCGAGAGCCUUACCACUACACUACAGCAGC